rnacentral:rRNA from 1 species
UACGGAGGGUGCGAGCGUUAAUCGGAAUUACUGGGCGUAAAGGGCGCGUAGGCGGUUUGGUAAGUCGGGUGUGAAAGCCCCGGGCUCAACCUGGGAAUUGCAUUCGAUACUGCCUGGCUAGAGUAUGGUAGAGGGAAGCGGAAUUCCGGGUGUAGCGGUGAAAUGCGUAGAUAUCCGGAGGAACACCAGUGGCGAAGGCGGCUUCCUGGACCAAUACUGACGCUGAGGCGCGAAAGCGUGGGGAUCAAACAGG